rnacentral:rRNA from 1 species
AGAGUUUGAUCCUGGCUCAGGAUUAACGCUGACGGUAUGCCUUAUACAUGCAAGUCGAACGGUAAGGUCUCUUCGGAGAUACACGAGUGGCGGACGGGUGAGUAACGCGUAGGAAUAUACCCUUUAGUGGGGGACAACCAAGAGAAAUUUUGGCUAAUACCCCAUAUGUCGCGAGAUGAAAGAUUUAUCGCUAAAGGAGUAGCCUGCGUUUGAUUAGCUAGUUGGUGGGGUAAAAGCUCACCAAGGCGACGAUCAAUAGCUGGUUUGAGAGGAUGACCAGCCACAAUGGGACUGAGAUACGGCCCAUACUCCUACGGGAGGCAGCAGUAGGGAAUUUUGCGCAAUGGGCGAAAGCCUGACGCAGCAAUACCGUGU